rnacentral:lncRNA from 1 species
CCCCAGGAUGGCAGGACUAGAUCCCAGGCUCACAACUGUGGAGGUACAAAAGAUUUUUUCAGUGCUGCUUGGGUAUAUGCAACCACAGGAAAUGUUUAUUGGGAGCCCCAAAGAGAUUUAAUUACAGUAAUAAGGAAUUCAACAGGUCCUGGCCUGUUUAUUUCUAGUUGCAAAGGCAAUGAACAUUAUUUUUGUCAUGGCUUUAGUUGUGCCUCAAUUGUGCUGUCUGGGUCCUUGACAGGAGUAGGAUCUUGUGUAAGGUUUUUUUGGUUUGGUUUGGUUUGGUUUUUUGUAACCCUAUUGUAGUGAAUGUCACUGAGUCUGGCAAAAAGGUUAGAGAAGACUGGUUUAAAGGAAGGACUUGGGGAUUUAGAAUAUAAAAAACUGGUUAUGAUGAAGGAUUACUCUUUACCAUUAAGCUUAAAAUUGCACCUAUGUCUUUUUCAGUAGGACCUAAAAAGAUCGAACAACAGAGAUAAAGAGAAGAAUAAUGCUAAUAGGAAUAGGAGUAAUACUGCUUUCUUACUUUCUUCUCCAGGGUCUGGUAUCCCUCAUAGUCCUACAGUUGCCACCACUACCUUUUCUACAUUUGCUACUCACCUAACAGAAUUAAUGAUAGGCAGGUUUCAUAUACUUAAUGAUACUUAUCCUAAUAUCACUCACUCUUGUUGGCUUUGCUAUUAUAUAGCUCCUCCUUACUAUGAAGGUAUUGCUUAUUAUCCAGCAAUGUUUCUUAUUCUAAUAGCUCUUGUGGUUUUCGAUGGAAUCAGAAAUCUAGCAUAGGUCUUUCUCUACAUGAAGUUUCUGGACUAGGUACCUGCAUAGUGAAAAAUUCAUAAAGGUAAAAGACAGAGUUUAUGUAAUCAAAUCUUACUGUUUCCACCUCUUCAUCUUAUUUUAUUCCUCCAAAAGAGAGAAUUUGUGAGUUUGUUCCAUAGGUCUUACCCCCUGCAUUCACACACAAGUAUUUGAUAGCUCCAAAGAUUUUUGUGUGUUGGUUCAACUUAUUCCUAGACUCAUUUAUCAUCCUUAUGAGGUGCUCUUGGAUCAUUGGGAUGGAGACUUCUCUCAAUCCAAGAGAGAACUUGCUAUUGCAUUAACUAUUUCAGUACUGAUGGGGCUCAGUAUGGGAGGAGCAGCUACAGGCACUUCUGCCUU